CCUGGCUAGCAUUGUCUUGACAACUUCCUGUGCACAAGUUACUGCUUCUCCCGGGGUGGAGGCGCAUUGUCCCAUAUGAAUAGUCUGCCAAAACCAUACAAAUUUAGCAAACAUUCAUAACCAGGUAUUGUGGAAAAUAGAGAGAGUGAC